UACGGGGGGUGCGAGCGUUGUCCGGAAUCAUUGGGCGUAAAGGGCGCGUAGGUGGUCUUAUAAGGGGGGGGUGAAAGCCCGGGGCUCAACCCCGGGUCGGCCGUGCCGACUGUAAGACUAGAGUGCUGUAGGGGCAGGCGGAAUUCCGGGUGUAGCGGUGGAAUGCGUAGAGAUCCGGAGGAAGACCGGUGGCGAAGGCGGCCUGCUGGGCAGUUACUGACACUGAGGCGCGAAAGCGUGGGGAGCAAACAGG
rnacentral:rRNA from 1 species